rnacentral:rRNA from 1 species
UACGUAGGGACCGAGCGUUGUCCGGAUUCAUUGGGCGUAAAGAGCUCGUAGGCGGCCACUCAAGUCGAAUGUGAAACCUCGAGGCUUAACCUCGAGCCUGCAUUUGAUACUGGGCGGCUAGAGUCUGGUAGGGGGAUCUGGAAUUCCUGGUGUAGCGGUGGAAUGCGCAGAUAUCAGGAGGAACACCGGUGGCGAAGGCGGUUCUCUGGGCAUUACCUGACGCUGAGGAGCGAAAGCGUGGGGAGCAAACAGG